UGAGAAAUAUGACUGCAAUUUUAAAGUUUAUUUAUGUGAUGACCUUCUUUCUUUCACUAUUUCAUGUUGCAACUAACUAUGGAUCUCGUGGUUGCAAGUAUGACAAAGAUUGUCCAAAUUAUUUGUGUUACCCUCCUAAAGUUGGGAAGUGUUUUUCUAAUAAAUGUUACUGCAGUAAUUAACAGGUUAGUUGAAAAGUCAUCUUGUUUCUUAACUUUUUUUUCUCUCAACAUUUCAAAUUUCAUUUUUAGCUGCAAAGGCAGAAGCAAUACUAGGAGGACAAUCGUCAACCCAAACAAGUGUUUCGCUUUCGGAAGAUUUGAAGAACUACAAUUUCUUUACAUGAUUAUAAUUAACUACUUCGAUAAAUAAAAGCGAUAUGAUCAUGUAAAGUAACCAUCUAUUUUACUUCUGCAUUUAGCAUAAGAAUGAUGUGAGAUAUAAAGUGAACAAAUAGCACUCUCUUUUGUUCAA